GAUGAACGCUGGCGGCGUGCUUAACACAUGCAAGUCGAACGAGAACGGGCUAUAGCUUGCUAUAGUUGUCAGCUAAGUGGCGCACGGGUGAGUAAUGUAUAGGUAAUAUGCCUCUUACUAAGGGAUAACAAAUGGAAACGUUUGCUAAUACCUUAUACUCCUUAUUAACAGAAGUUAAUAAGGGAAAGAUUUAUUGGUAAGAGAUUAGCCUGUAUUGUAUCAGUUAGUUGGUGGGGUAAUGGCUUACCAAGACUAUGACACAUAACUGGUUUGAGAGGAUGAUCAGUCACACUGGAACUGAGACACGGUCCAGACUCCUACGGGAGGCAGCAGUGGGGAAUAUUGCACAAUGGACGAAAGUCUGAUGCAGCAACGCCGCGUGGAGGAUGACACAUUUCGGUGCGUAAACUCCUUUUAUAUGAGAAGAUAAUGACGGUAUUAUAUGAAUAAGCACCGGCUAACCCCGUGCCAGCAGCCGCCGUAA
rnacentral:rRNA from 1 species